ensembl:miRNA
CAGCACAGUUCAGUACAGCACAGUACAGUGUACGGUACAGCAUAAUACAGUAUAGCACAGCACAGUACAGUAUAGUACAGCACAGUACAGCACAGCACAGUACAGU